AGCCCCGCCACCUCCGCCCGCGCCUCCGGGUCCUAACGCCGCCGCUCACCCUCCGCUGCGCCCUCCCCGAGCGCGGCUCCAGGACCCCGUCGACCCGGAGCGCUGUCCUGGUGGACCGAGUCGCGGGCCUGGGCACGGAACUCACGCUCACUCCGAGCUCCCGACGUGCACACGGCUCCCAUCCGUUGUCUUCCGAGCGUCAGGCCGCCCCUACCCGUGCUUUCUGCUCUGCAGACCCUCUUCCUAGACCUCCGUCCUUUGUCCCAUCGCUGCCUUCCCCUCAAGCUCAGGGCCAAGCUGUCCGCCAGCCUCGGCUCCUCCGGGCAGCCCUCGCCCUGGGUGCGCCCCGGGGCAGGACCCCCAGCCCAGGCCCAGGGCCCGCCCCUGCCCUCCAGCCCUACACAUUGACCCGCUUUCCUGCGUCUCUCAGCCUAUCUGACCUUGUCUUUACCUCUGUGGGCAGCUCCCUUGUGAUCUGUUUAGUUCCCACCCCCCUUUAAGAAUUAAAUAGAGAAGCCAGACGCAAAACUACAGAUAUCGUAUGAGUCCACUUUUGUGAAGUGCCUAGAGUAGUCAGAAUUCACAGAGACAGAAGCAGUGGUCGCCAGGAAUGGGGAAGCAAGGCGGAGUUGGGCAGCUCGUGUUCAAUGGUUUUGUCCGCCUUCCCUGCCUCCUCUUCUGGGGGAGUUAGAUUGAGUUGUAACAAGAACAUGCCACUGUCUCACUGGCUGCAGCGUGUGGUCCCCUUACCAGAGUGAGGAUGCGAAGAGAAGGUGGCUGUCUGCAAACCAGGAAGAGAGCCCUCACCAGGAACCCGUCCAGCUGCCACCUUGAACUUGGACUUCCAAGCCUCCAGAACUGUGAGGGAUAAAUGUAUGAUUUUAAAGUCGCCCAGUGUGUGGUAUUUUGUUUUGACUAAUACAACCUGAAAACAUUUUCCCCUCACUCCACCUGAGCAAUAUCUGAGUGGCUUAAGGUACUCAGGACACAACAAAGGAGAAAUGUCCCAUGCACAAGGUGCACCCAUGCCUGGGUAAAGCAGCCUGGCACAGAGGGAAGCACACAGGCUCAGGGCUCUGCUAUUCAUUCUUUGUGUGACCCUGGGCAAGCCAUGAAUGGAGCUUCAGUCACCCCAUUUGUAAUGGGAUUUAAUUGUGCUUGCCCUGCCUCCUUUUGAGGGCUGUAGAGAAAAGAUGUCAAAGUAUUUUGUAAUCUGGCUGGGCGUGGUGGCUCAUGCCUGUAAUCCCAGCACUUUGGUAGGCUGACGCGAGAGGACUGCUUGAGCCCAAGAGUUUGAGAUCAGCCUGGGCAAUAUUGUGAGAUUCCAUCUCUACAAAAAUAAAAUAAAAUAGCCAGUCAUGGUGUCACACACCUGUAGUCCCAGCUACAUGGGAG
rnacentral:lncRNA from 1 species